UUAGCAUGGAUAGUCAGAAAGCAUGUGAUUGGGCAGUAUCCUGUCUCCAUGGCGAGGAAUCACCAUUUUCAGGAUAUGAAGAUGGAGAUGUACCAAAAUUAAGUGUCAUUCAAAUUAAGGAGUGUGAAAGACGAUGAUUCAGUAGAGAAAAUGUGAUCUUAUACUGAUUAUUGAAGGUAGUUAGCCGAAGCCCCUUUUUGUAGUAGUACUUUUUUAUAACUUGGUUUGUUGAAACAAUUCUGAGUUAACCUUUGCAUAUAGGAAACCCCCCUUACCAUGAACCUGGUUACUGGCCUGAAUUUCUACAAAAAUUUAGGCCUAUAAUUAUAAUUAGUGUAGAUUUAUUUUUGUAUAGCGCAUAAUGCAUACAGCCUCUAUGCACUUCACAUUUAAAGAAAUAAGCCAGAGUAAAAAAAAAACAUGAUUAAAAAUAAUGAAGAUUUGUAACUAGUGGAAGUUUCAUG